AUUGAACGCUGGCGGCAGGCCUAACACAUGCAAGUCGAGCGGAUGAAGGGAGCUUGCUCCUGGAUUCUGCGGCGGACGGGUGAGUAAUGCCUAGGAAUCUGCCUGGUAGUGGGGGAUAACGUCCGGAAACGGGCGCUAAUACCGCAUACGUCCUGAGGGAGAAAGUGGGGGAUCUUCGGACCUCACGCUAUCAGAUGAGCCUAGGUCGGAUUAGCUAGUUGGUGGGGUAAAGGCCUACCAAGGCGACGAUCCGUAACUGGUCUGAGAGGAUGAUCAGUCACACUUGAACUGAGACACGGUCCAGACUCCUACGGGAGGCAGCAGUGGGGAAUAUUGGACAAUGGGCGAAAGCCUGAUCCAGCCAUGCCGCGUGUGUGAAGAAGGUCUUCGGAUUGUAAAGCACUUUAAGUUGGGAGGAAGGGCAGUAAGUUAAUACCUUGCUGUUUUGACGUUACCAACAGAAUAAGCACCGGCUAACUUCGUG
rnacentral:rRNA from 1 species